UUGUUUCAAUUGGCAGUAGUGAUCGCCCUCUAGAGAAAAAAAAUUGUAACUUGUUUCAACUGUAACACGAAACUUCUGAGAGGGUUGCAUUUGUGAAUGGAAUCCCUUGUCAUUUAAAGGCCAAAUUUAAAAACGCAUGCCUGACCCAGGACCGAUCUUUCAGCCAUGUAUCAGAAUUUGAAGAGCGACAUGUGAGAUCAUUUUUCCUUAGGCUUGGACUGUUGGACUGAUUUGUUCACUGUUACAUACAUGCAUUUGAUCCUACAAAUGAUCCUACUUGAUGUUCAUUAAAAAUACAAAACAAUAUGUUUUGCAUGUUCAUAUAUUAUUUGAUUUAUUUAAUUGAGGAAAAUAUUAUUGCACUCUAUUCGCAUUCAAUGUGUCCAGCUAUUGCACUGUUUCCCUGCAACCAAGCUAUGGUAAUUAUUGCACAAAUGUUUGUGCUAGUUUUGACUUGGAUCUUCUUAUUAAAUUGACUAGUGCGUCCACGUGUGUGCAUGUAAACAAAGCAAAAACAGCGUGCCACUUCACAAAUCCAUCUUGGCUGCCGUAGCUGAAACAAGUGACUCAAGUAGAAGAACACCGUUGAUCAAACUGGAUAUUGUUUAAUAUAUUUGUUUUUGUCAUUUUUAACAUAGCGAUGCAGUGCACGCUACCGAAGAUGAGGCUGGAGUGGGUUCAGUGUCGGACAGAGGCUCAUAGACACAUUUUUUGAGCAUUUUCAGCAGCUAUAUUUAAAGUAUGUCGGUGCAACUGGAACGUGAGAGCUGGCGUCAGAAGCUGCCCGGUCGAUUAUUGACAAGGGACCGGUGAGUGAGCUGCUGCUGGACCCUGAGGCUGGAGUAGAAUAUUUAUACAGAGUAUUUUAAGAUUCGUUCAUUGUCUUAACAAUAUAAUUUCUAACUUUAAAUUGUAACUAAUUGUCAUUCACACAGAGUCAUCGCGAACAUUGUCAAAACAGUUGUGUUUAUGAAACAGAUCCAUCAACUUUUCGACUUUUUCCAUGUGGCCAUGUGAAUGUUUGUUUAGUAUAGUUUCGCCCGGUGACAUUUCUUCGCUGCACACAGGAAGUGUUUACAUUCUUUGUCACGUGAACGGAAAAGCAGCGAUAUUUUCAUUUUAAAAGUAUGAAGUUGAGGAUAUGUUAGAAUAAAUAAAUAAAAUAAACCCACAUUUGAUUAACUGAUGUCAAGCAUUUUUACUUACGUUAUAUAUGAUCAGAAUUAUAGAAAUUACGAGAUCCCGACAUUAUUGACUUUUACCUCAUGCUUUCAAUCAUGCAGCUGUAUAAUGAUUUUCAGUCCAAUAAAUAAAGAAAUAAACUGGAAAAAAAAAUGUAAACACAUAGUUUACAUUGGAAUUGAACCCAAUGUUAUAAAUAUUUAGGUCAAAAGAAAAUACUAAAGCAGAACAAGUGAUCAAUAAUUGAAUUUAACAGCACAGGUUAUCAGCAACAAUACUGCAAACAAACUGCUCACCUUCUACUUUCAAGUAAAACAAAUAUAUAUAUACACACUUGGCAAUAGGGGGCAGGAGAAAUUGUGAAGAAGAAUUGUGAGGUCACACUGCAGGAACAUGGACUGAGAAGCAGAAGAAGUGAACAGAGGAAACAUUUUUGAAAUAUCCUGCAUAACGGGAGUGCAUGGUGAUAACUACAAGCAUCACUGCAAGUACUUCAACGUGACUACAACCAUGAGCCCAUUCACCAAACUGAAGAAAAGGUCCUAUUAAUGUUUGAUUUGCCCAUGGACGUUUGCCACAAAUAAGGAUCGCCAAAGGCACACGCAGGACCACAAAGGCCUCAGGCAAGUACUUUGUCGUACAUGUGGAAUGUAGUUCCUAUGUGUUCCAAAUACUCUGAAGAGACACUUAAAUGUGAACUCAGAUGACAGACCUUAUAAGUGUGCAGUGUGCCAGCGAGGCUUCAUCCAGAAGGCCGUGUAAAUGUCGGCACUGUGACAAAUGUUUUAAUCACAAUGUGAGCUGAAAGAGUCAGAGCCAGCGUUACCACACAUCCAGAUCCUGGAAUGAACAGAAUAAAGCAAAUGGAAAAGAUCAGAGCGAUGGGAACAAUGGGGCUGUAGAGUUUACCUGUCAGUGUAGAGGAGAAACUGGACACAGAGGGGGAUAAAUAGCAGCAAAGGAGACGCAUGGGUUGGUAGGCCCAAGAGCAACAAAGCUGUUAAAAUAGCUCAAACUUGUGAAAGGACAGAAUCAGGUUUGAACUAUAGUACUCCUUAUGACGAAGGAUAAAAAAAACUGCUGGUUUAAAAACAUUUAUUUUCCCUCAUUUAUUUAUGCCAUAUCAAUACUUGAUUUAUUAAUAAUAUUUAUGCAUUAACAUCACAGGUAUUUCAGAAGCACUUUUCCCGUUGUGGAAUUUUGCUAGUCACAUGGUAAUCACUAGAUGUCCUCCUUGUACUAGAAACACAGCCUGAUUGAGCCAAUUCUUUCCGAGUGGGAUCACAGUCUUCCCUUCUCCAUCACACUCAGUUCCUGAGGUGACUGUCAUUUCUCUGAGCUGCUUUUCGAGUGCCUCUGCUUAUCUUCUCCCUCUCUCCUCCUGUCGUCUCCUCAGGGACACUGUGUUUUCUCCUCAGGGAACACAGUUUCUUAGCACAUUAUCUUUCCUGGUCCUUUUGGAGCGUCUCACUGAUCCCCUGUAGCCCUCAAAGCACUGGAGUACUGACAUUUGUGCUUCAGGUAUACUAUUGUGGGAAAGGAAAACAGUAUGGGGAUCUACCACCUUGGGGCUGAUGCUAUUAAAAUUACCUUAGUGCUGAUUAUUACAAUUAUUAUUUGUUAUUGUUCUUACCUCUCAAAUAUUUCCUUUUUAUCAUCUUCUUCAGCUACUGCCUGAAGGUGUCGCCAUAUAAAUCUUUCUCUUGCCUCCUCUGCUCAUACACCAGCUAUCUUAAUGUCAUUAUUCACUGUCUCUAUUUUCUGGCAGGGGUCUUUAUUUUCUUUCUGCCAUCUGGUCAUUCAUUUAAUUUUUUUUUUUUUUUUUACCUAAAGCUAACAGAUAAAACGUAACCUUAUAGUAUCAACAGAAGGCAGCAUUUGUUUAUCUGAAUGUUUUUGUACAAAUCUUCCAAAAUAAAUCAAGUUGAAAUUAUGUUUUUUUUAAAUCACUCGCAAUAUUUGUAGAAUUUUAAAUGUCUGUUCUCAAUUUUCAAACCCAUUCGAGUGAUGUAGCAGUGAAAUAUCAAAUCUGGACUUUUUCAAUGCGAUUCAACAAUGAAACAUUUUUAUUUUUCUCAGGUGUCCUUUUCCUUGUCCUUGCAGUCUGUUCCAUUUCCAUUCACUGAUUAUUGCCUCAUCUCCCUCUCACAGAGAAAUGUCACGAGGUAUUUAUCAAUCACAGGGCAUUUGUAUUCCGUUAUUUACUGGAGCCCCAGUCUCCUUCCGCCCCCUGUCUGUGCAGAAUUACCCCAUCAACAGUGCAAUCACUAGUCUCCUGCUAUCCUGCCUGGUUGAGCGGCAAGUAUUAGUUUUCUCCCACUGUCACGGAGUGGCAUCGUCAAUCCGAAACAGCAGGGAAUGAGUGGUGUGUCAAGAAUGUCAGCAAGUUUCCUCUCUGGGUUGUGUUAACUCUAAGAUCUUAGUCAGGGAUGAGCAUAAAUUUGAUGGUAGAGGGCCUGUAAAAAUCCAUACUGUUGUCAGAGUUGAAUUUAAAUCAACACGCACUAGCUACACUGGGAUCUUCACAUCGGUUCUGCUGUCAGAUAGUCGACUCUCUUGUGUACACCAGCAGUACAUAUAUCUAAAUAUAUCAUUCCACUGUAAAUGAACAAACUGUACUGAAAAAGCAAAAGUUAAAGCUGAAAUAGAUUUUAUUUGCAGGAAUGGCAACGGUUUGAUGAAAAAAAAAAUCCAUUCCUUGGAGCAUUUGAACCUACCACUGACUUGAUACUCAGCAACAGUGUAUGUGACUGUCAGUUUCUAAAUCUCUGCUCAUCUAUUCACGUCAUUGAGGUUUGCAGAUGUAGUUUCCAUAAACAUUUGUACUUUUUCUGAGCUGAUUGUCCUCUGGACUGCACACUGGUCAGUACAGCACGCGUAAUCUAUGUUAAAAAUUUGUUACCCAAACCACUUCAACAUAAACCUCUCAGAAUGUUGUUAUAACACACAGCUAUACUGUAGCGAGCAGAUUUAGUCAAGUACACCCUGAGUCUACAGGCUACACAUUUAAGGUUCUUAGAUUGCUGAGUAGUCAGUUCUUUCACAUUACCUGUGAAAUAUCAACA